UGGGGAAUUUUGGACAAUGGGGGAAACCCUGAUCCAGCCAUCCCGCGUGUGCGAUGAAGGCCUUCGGGUUGUAAAGCACUUUUGGCAGGAAAGAAACGUCAUGGGUUAAUACCCCGUGAAACUGACGGUACCUGCAGAAUAAGCACCGGCUAACUACGUGCCAGCAGCCGCGGUAAUACGUAGGGUGCAAGCGUUAAUCGGAAUUACUGGGCGUAAAGCGUGCGCAGGCGGUUCGGAAAGAAAGAUGUGAAAUCCCAGAGCUCAACUUUGGAACUGCAUUUUUAACUCCCGGGCUAGAGUGUGUCAGAGGGAGGUGGAAUUCCGCGUGUAGCAGUGAAAUGCGUAGAUAUGCGGAGGAACACCGAUGGCGAAGGCAGCCUCCAGGGAUAACACUGACGCUCAUGCACGAAAGCGUGGGGAGCAAACAGG
rnacentral:rRNA from 1 species